rnacentral:rRNA from 1 species
UACGUAGGGGGCGAGCGUUGUCCGGAAUUAUUGGGCGUAAAGAGCUCGUAGGCGGCUUAGUAAGUCGGCGGUGAAAUACCGAGGCUCAACCUCGGCACUGCCGUCGAUACUGCUAUGGCUAGAGUUUGGUAGAGGAGAACGGAAUUCCCGGUGUAGCGGUGGAAUGCGUAGAUAUCUGGAGGAACACCGGUGGCGAAGGCGGCGUUCUGGACUGCAACUGGCACUGAGGAACGAAAGCCAGGGGAGCAAACGGG